rnacentral:lncRNA from 1 species
CUUGUAUUGGCCGAAUCCUGACCGGCAUGCAGGGUACAUGUCCAGGGGCCCUGACCUCCAUUUUGUUAGUCAGUCUCACUCAGAUAUCAUUAACAUGGCAUAAGUCACGGCAAAAUGUUUAUUUUAUUUUUCAUCUCAUCUUCUCUCUGCAUUGUUGGGAAAUUGUUAAGUAACUGCAUUUGUAAGUAAGUAUUUCACUGUUGGUCUACACCUGUUGUUUACGAAGCAUGUGACAAAUAACAUGUGAUUUCGUUUUUGAAAUUAUUUGAAAAAUAUGUAUUAUCGUAUGAGAAAGAGAAUCAAAUAUUUGACAAUGUCUUUCUGUUCUCCCCUCCUCCUCCCUCCCCCCCUUUAAAACUUCCCAAAAAAUUCUGUGAAUGCAUGAGAUGAAAAGCAGGUACAGGGAGUGAACCAUUUAAUACAGACGGACAGGCAACGGAACAGGGACAGCGUCUGGACAUGAACACGACCCGACAAACAAUGCUACUAUAGGGAACAACACAGAGGAGCAGACAUAUGUGCAGGGGAAAUCAACAAAGUGAGGGAGUCCAGAUACAGUAUGUUACCUACCCAACGAACCACCAAUCUACACAUCCUCCACACCCUCUAAACCCCCCACAGCCUUCACAUCAUCCACACCCUCCACAUCCUCAACACCCUCCACAUCCUCAACACCCUCCACACCCUCCACAUCCUCCACAUCCUCUACACCAGGGCUACCCAACCCUCUUCCUGGAGAUCUACUGUCCUGUAGAUUUUCAGUCCAACCCUAAUUUAGCAGAUCUGAUUCAGCUAGUUAAGGUCUUGUUGAGCAGCUAAUUAGUAGAAUCAGGUGUGUUAAGUUAGGGUUGGACUGAAAACCCACAGGACUCUAGAUCUCCAGGAAGAGGGUUGGACUGUAAACCCACAGGACGGUAGAUCUACCGGAAGAGGGUUGGACUGAAAACCCACAGGUCAGUAGAUCUCCAGGAAGAGGGUUGGACUGAAAACCCUCAGGACGGUAGAUCUCCAGGAAGAGGGUUGGACUGUAAACCCACAGGACGGUAGAUCUCCAGGAAGAGCGUUGGGCAGCCCUGCUCUACACCUGGUCAGAUAUGGUGUGUAUGUAUUCUACUUCCCCUGAACCAAAGCAGUCACAAAGUGAGGUCACUAUCUCAGACUAAUAUAUUAUAGCGACUGUACUAGCUAAUACUUUUCUGCUGUUGGGUGCAGAACUGGAACACGUCAGAUUAAUUUCAGGGAAAUGCUUCCUGUCAAUACUAGUUUCUCUCUGAACCCUGCACAUGUGGAAAAGUCCAUGGCCCACUGUGUGAUAUUUUGUGUUUAUCUUCAUUGGCUUGUUCAUUCCCUUCACAUUCUAUGAUUCAAUAUCAAUUGUAUCUGUGGAUCUAUCAUGUAAAAUAAAAGGUUUGAUUGGUUGUAUGCUUUUAGUCUCCACAAACUGCAUGUUUUUUUAGGUGUUGUCAUUAUUGUUGAUAGCAUAGCAUACAUUCAAAAUUAUGUACAGAUUUAUAUUGUAGGUUACACACCUCAACACCAGGCACUGUAAAUUGCAGCAUGUUGUGUGUUAAAGUACUGUACUAUCUCACUGGUUAUUCCUCAGUUGACAUAUGUACACUUUAUUCUCUAGUGGUUUGAUCUCUCGACCCUGAGUUCUAAAUUACCUCGUGUUCAUCUGAUCCAAUGGCAGCCCAGCUCUCUCCUGAUUGGUCUCCGGGAAGUCAGAAAUGUAUUCUGAUUGACUGUUAGUUCAGAAGGCAGAAAAACUCCACAAUGACAUUGUUGUUUUGUCAGAAAAAGGACAUGAUACAACAGGCUACAAUUAUACUGUGGUGAGAUAAGAACUACUAUGACAUCAUGUGCUCAGGGCAAACACAUAGAACAUUUAUUGCUGUGCCGUUAGGCUUACCUUUGAUGCCAUAGUCAUUGACUUAGAGGUUUGUCUCGUCAUUUAUGAGAACAUCUUUGAAGCUAAAACAGCCCUUCAUGGUCACGUUAUGGUUCCUGUCAACCCACAAGCUCAUGUUUUACACCUUGAGGUAGAAGUCGCCCCUAACCACAGAUCUAGGAUCAGAUUACUCAACCCUUUAUUCUAACCUUAAACAAUAAGGGGAUGAACUAAUAUCUGACCCUGUAUCAGUGGUUAGGGGCAACUUCUACCUAUUUCCACCACCAUUAACCAAGACGGUCCAGGUGUGGACUAUAAUAAUAAUGUGGCAUCUCCUGAAGUUAUAGUAACAGACAACCCAUAGCAAUAAUCACUCACUGAUAUCCCACAUGUUACAAACAUGUUAAAGACAAUCACCAGUGAUUCAAUUAAAUGACAAUGAAGUUCAUUAAACAGGUCAAACCAAACUUUGCUCAUCACCUCAAUGAAAAAAAAAAACCACUAGGGAUACAAGAGUGUAUUCUAGGUUAGGCUAAGAUGGCCACUUCAUCGCAGAUGUACUGAGUGGCAUACCAAAAUGUUGGAAAAAGAUGCAAUGUUUAUUCAUCGUUACAGUGACAGCUUGAUAUCAAAACUAGGGUUUGCUACUACAGAUGUGUGUUAGAUAGAGGGGGUGAGUGAAUUACGUAUCUUUUAAACAAGGAGAAGCAUCCUAUUGCAAUCCCUUAACCAUGCUAAGGAACAUUGAUGUGUCAAUAAUUAGAUGUGUCAUCAUGUAUUGGUAUGACACUCAAAUUAAAGCUUUCAAAAAGAUCAACAAUGUUUUUUCGUCUUGGUGUUAGCAUAGGAGGCUAAGCUAAGCAACAACGUUCCCUGUUCAUCCCGGGAAUGUCUGUGAUUAGGAAAUGUUCUCCUGUGCUGCAAAAUUAUGGCCCUUCCCUCCUUUGGUCUUCAUUUGGGAUUCCAAAAUCCAAAAUUCCAGGAGGAACCAAAAUUCCCAAAGUUACGUGUGCCCAAGGGAACUUUUUCUUCAGCGCACAGAGCUUAUUUACAUUUUUUUGCUUGUUUGUUCUCUCCACACACUUUUAAUAAUAAAAAGUAUAUAUUUUUAACCCCACAUUAUAAAACUGAAAGCCACUUGCAGACAAUAAGUUAUACGAGAAAUCGUACGGGUAAGGUAUAGGUUAAGGACGAAGUCAUGACAACACUGUCACGCUCCUAUUCUGUAUUCUAAAAAAAUAUUGGAAUAGAAACCACUUUAUAAUUAUCAUCCCAACAUUGACAUCUUGAUACACUUCGGUAUAUAUAUUAAAACUCUUGGGUAAAAUGCAAUAAUUCCAUCAUGCAGACAAACUGCCUCCAUCUUCUAGGAGGAGGUUCUAUUGGUCUGGAAUUCAUAUCUCUGAUAUAUUCUUCCUUUCUUACUUUCGCAAAGUGACAAAGAGAAAGAAGUGACAGGUUUGAAUUUCACACACAUUCCAUUGUGAAGCCACUGUAUGCAGGUGUGUUUUUCAUCUCCCAGAGUGAAUGGUGCUCGUCUCGUCUCCUCAGUUUGUUUGUCUCAGGAGGGCCAGUGUCUUUGACAGAGAGGCUCUCCUACUGUGAGUGGAUAUAGCAGGCUGUCCUGUAACUCUCAUUCACUCCCUGUCCUUCUCUCUGAGUGAGUGACGUUGCGAUAAAAGAGCCUAUUUAACAAACUGCUGCAUGCAGGAGUGGGAUCUUAGUAUGGUCUCUAUCUCUCUGUCUCUCUUUUUCCUGUUGUACUAUCACUUAGACACACACACACUCCUUCCUGAAAAGUACAGAUGGAGGGAAGGGGUUAGGUGGUGGUGAUGAUAAGUUAACGCAUGCUUUUGCUACCUAAGUCUCAGCUCUUCCACUAUAACAACUCCUUCUCAGGUGAACUCUACACUACCUCUGUUCAAUCUAGACCUCCUCACCCCUCCUCCACUCCACACACAAGGACCUGUAGCCUCCGUCUGCUACAACAGAUCUGGCUUCAGCCCUCCAGGAGAAACUUCCUCCUCCUACACCGUGACGUACAUUCAGGCUCAUCCUACACCGCAACAUACAUACAGCCUCCCCCUACACCGUGAUGUACAGCCACACUGAAAAAUAAAAUCUGUUGGCUUGAUCAGCUCAGUUUUGUUAGAUAUUCUAUUUUUGCAUUUUAAACUUCUGUGAAGCCGAAGAAAAAAUUAAAACAAACAGGAAAACAGGAACGACGACAAGACAAAAUGUUCUCGUUAGAUCUCUGUCUCAGCUUGUCUCUGUCUACGUCUUCUAUGUAUAUCUCCCUGAUAUGAUGAUGCAGCCCUCCUGGUCUGUCUCCUACUCUGGGGGUCCUUCUCCUCCAGAGGGGUACGAUGGGGGGUCCAUCCCAGCUCCCCCCGCCACCACAGGGGUCACACCUGUAAUCCCCUUUAACCUUCCACCGUUUGACCUCUGACCCUCCACACCUGAACCACUGCCACAGGGUAGCACAAAAUGGGACAGGGGGGGUCAUAAACAUAAAUAUAUAUAUAGCGAGAGGGAGGGGUUUGGUUAUAGGAAUUCACGGGAUUACAUCACACGUUGUCAAAAACGUCAAACUUCUCUCUGCCUGAGGGGGACGGAGAGGAACAGUAAUGGGUUGAUGAAUCCUAAUAGGAGCGGUAGUAGACAACAAGGGAUUCUGGCUUCAUCUGUUUUUACUACAGGACCCUACUGUUGUUUGGCUUGAGCUUUUCCCCUUGAGGCCCGGCGCCUCUCCCAACUGUCCCUCCUCUCCUCUGCCUCCCAACUGUCCCUCUUCUCCUCUGCCUCCCGCACUCUCUCCCCAAGGGUUGGCCAGGAAGCCCUGGUGGUCCAACUCCAACCCUAGGAUCUGUCUCCCCUCCCCCCUCCUCGCCCCCUGGUUCAAGCUCCCCGUGCUGUUGCAUUUCUUCACCCCCGGGGGGGCCAGGGAGGCGGGCGAGAGCAACGAUGUGAGCGACAGGCUGCUUAGCGUUUCCGACAAGUGUUCGCUGUUGCCCGCCUGGCUGGAGCCACACCCCCCGAUGGACGAACUGAUCCCGAUGCCCAGGUCCUCCAGGUCACAUGGAACGGGGUCCAUGGAGUCCUCCCGGUUGUAGCCGGGGCUGAUGCUACCCCUGCCGCUGCUCUGGCUCCGCUGGUGGCCCCGAGUGGCCUGGAGGGUGAGGGCAGGGCCUGACGAGGGGCUGGGCCGCGGUCUCAGAGUCUGGCCUGCUGGGCAGCUGGUGGGAUCCUCAGGGAGCGGGGGGCAGAGCAGGGGGAGAGGGGGGAGGGGGGACACCAGGUCUUGAGGGGGCGAAACACUGAAGCUGAGUCCUUCCUCCAGGGUGGUCUGGAGGCUGCCAUCGGAGCUCCCCGUGGCCAGAGACGAGUCACU